rnacentral:rRNA from 1 species
AUUGAACGCUGGCGGCAGGCCUAACACAUGCAAGUCGAGCGAGCGGCGGACGGGUGAGUAAUGUCUGGGAAACUGCCUGCUGGAGGGGGUUAACUCCUGGAAACGGUAGCUAAUACCGCAAACCAUCAGCUGCGCACAGAUGGGAUUCGCUUGUAGGUGGGGUAAUGGGUCACCUAGGCGACAAUCCCUAGCGGGUACGAGAGGAUGAACAGCCACACUGGAGCUGGGACACGGUCCAGACUCCUACGGGAGGCAGCAGUGGGGAAUAUUGCACAAUGGGCGCAAGCCUGAUGCGGCCAUGCCGCGUGUAUGAAGAAGGCCUACGAGUUGUAAAGUACGUUCAGCGGGGAGGCGUUACCAACAGAAUAGGCACCGGCUAACUUCGUGCCAGCAGCCGCGGUAAUAC